rnacentral:rRNA from 1 species
UACGUAGGGCGCAAAGCGUUAUCCGGAAUUAUUGGGCGUAAAGAGCUCGUAGGCGGUUUGUCGCGUCUGCCGUGAAAGUCCGGGGCUCAACUCCGGAUCUGCGGUGGGUACGGGCAGACUAGAGUGAUGUAGGGGAGACUGGAAUUCCUGGUGUAGCGGUGAAAUGCGCAGAUAUCAGGAGGAACACCGAUGGCGAAGGCAGGUCUCUGGGCAUUAACUGACGCUGAGGAGCGAAAGCAUGGGGAGCGAACAGG